rnacentral:rRNA from 1 species
GAUGAACGCUAGCGAUAGGCUUAACACAUGCAAGUCGAGGGGCAGCACAAGGUAGCUUGCUAUCUGGGUGGCGACCGGCGCCCGGGUGCGUAACGCGUAUGCAACUUGCCCUAUACAGGAGGAUAACCCGUCGAAAGACGGACUAAUACUGCGUAUGCUCACAACUUGGCAUCAAGUGGUGAGGAAAGAAAUUCGGUAUAGGAUAGGCAUGCGUCCCAUUAGCUUGUUGGUGAGGUAACGGCUCACCAAGGCAACGAUGGGUAGGGGAACUGAGAGGUUUAUCCCCCACACUGGUACUGAGACACGGACCAGACUCCUACGGGAGGCAGCAGUGAGGAAUAUUGGUCAAUGGGCGCGAGCCUGAACCAGCCAAGUCGCGUGAAGGAUGACUGUCUUAGGGAUUGUAAACUUCUUUUAUACGGGAAUAACAAGAGUCACGUGUGACUCCCUGCAUGUACCGUAUGAAUAAGCAUCGGCUAACUCCGUG